rnacentral:rRNA from 1 species
AUUGAACGCUGGCGGCAUGCUUUACACAUGCAAGUCGAACGGUAACAGGCCUUCGGGUGCUGACGAGUGGCGGACGGGUGAGUAAUGCAUCGGAACGUACCCAGAGGUGGGGGAUAACGCAGCGAAAGCUGUGCUAAUACCGUACGGGAUCUGAGCAUGAAAGCGGGGGACCGAGCAGCAAUGUUUGGCCUCGCGCCUUUGGAGCGGCCGAUGUCGGAUUGGCUAGUUGGUGGGGUAAAUGCCUACCAAGGCGACGAUCCGUAGCUGGUGUGAGAGGACGGCAGGCCACACUAGAACUGAGACACGGCCAAGACUCCUAAGGGAGGCAGCAGUGGGGAAUUUUGGACAAUGGGCGCAAGCCUGAUCCAGCAAUGCCGCGUGCGGGAAGGAGGCGUUCGGGUUGUAAACAGCUUUUGGCAGGAACGAAACGGUGUCCGCUAAUACCGGGCGCUAAUGACGGUACCUGCAGAAUAAGCACCGGCUAACUACGUG